ACCAAGGUCUAUUCUGUUUAGUUGACCACUUCUUCCUGAGGUUAAAUAUCAAGGUCCAGCAGUCAAAGAAUUGGCAUUGAGUCAUCAAAAGCUGGUUUUGGCUGCCCUAAAUUAACAUGCUCGAGGAAAAGUAAACACCUCAUCCUAACACAGGGUUUCCCUGUUUGCCUAUGAGCCACGUGUGCCUCAUCUCUAUCCAGAGGUAGACCUUUGUCCCCCUCAGGGACAAAUACCCUUUCCCCUUCUCCCUUGUUACUACUUUUCCCUUCUCUUCCAUCUAGUCCCCUGUGUCUGUAUUUUAUUCCCUGCCCUUUGACCCUCUAGGACAAAUGAACCUCUUUUGUGCUGAGAACUUGAUCUUGGGGGUCCUGAGCCAACACCCUUUCAUCCUGUCCUUGAUGAAGUCUGUCUCUGAGGAUGGAAACCUCCUGGUCCUAGUUAUAGUGAAUCCAUGAUUAACCAGGAAAACAACAGAAGAGUUGUUUUGGAAGAAGAGUUGGAAGAGUUUCUGCUCUCUGUGGCUA
rnacentral:sRNA from 1 species